GGCGUUCAUCGCGGCAGAAGUUAUCCUUCAGCAUAGCCAUGAAACCGGGCGCGCCCAAAGAAUAAUUCUCCGCUUCAUUGCCGUCCUCUUCGGGAGACAGAUGGAGGGGAGGAAGUCCGGGCUCCAUAGGGCAGGGUGCCAGGUAACGCCUGGGAGGCGCAAGCCUACGACUAGUGCAACAGAGAGCAAACCGCCGAUGCCCGCGCAAGCGGGAUCAGGUAAGGGUGAAAGGGUGCGGUAAGAGCGCACCGCGCGGCUGGCAACAGUUCGUGGCACGGUAAACUCCACCCGGAGCAAGGCCAAAUAGGGGUUCACAUGUACGGCCGUACUGAACCGGGUAGGCUGCUUGAGCCAGUGAGCGAUUGCUGGCCUAGAGGAAUGACUGUCCACGACAGAACCCGGCUUACCGGUCAACUCCUCGA
rnacentral:RNase_P_RNA from 1 species